UGGAGGUAUGUGGUUAAUUCGAUGCAACGCGAAGAACCUUACCUGGUCUUGACAUCCCGGAGACCCUUAGGAAACUAGGGGUGCUUCCAUCUGGAAGAAUCUGGAGACAGGUGCUGCAUGGCUGUCGUCAGCUCGUGUCGUGAGAUGUUGGGUUAAGUCCCGCAACGAGCGCAACCCUUGCCUUUAGUUGCCAGCAGUUCGGCUGGGCACUCUAAAGGGACUGCCGGUGUUAAACCGGAGGAAGGUGGGGAUGACGUCAAGUCCUCAUGGCCUUUAUGACCAGGGCUACACACGUACUACAAUGGCCGAUACAAAGGGCAGCGACACUGCGAGGUGAAGCCAAUCCCGUAAAAUCGGUCUCAGUCCGGAUUGGAGUCUGCAACUCGACUCCAUGAAGUUGGAAUCGCUAGUAAUCGUGGAUCAGCAUGCCACGGUGAAUACGUUCCCGGGCCUU
rnacentral:rRNA from 1 species